UAUCUCUGUAGAGUCUGCAUAUCAAUAAGCGGAGGAAAAGAAACUAACAAGGAUUCCCUUAGUAACGGCGAGUGAAGCGGGAAGAGCUCAAAUUUGAAAUCUUCAAGGUUUUACCUUGACGAAUUGUAGUUUAAAGAAGUGUUUUCUGUUGAAGUUUUGGUAAAAGUUCUUUGGAAUAGGACAUCAUAGAGGGUGAGAAUCCCGUAUUUGACCAUUAUUUUCAGCUGUGUGAUACACUUUCAAAGAGUCGGAUUGUUUGGGAAUGCAGUCCAAAAUGGGUGGUAAAUUUCAUCUAAAGCUAAAUAUUGGCGAGAGACCGAUAGCGAACAAGUACCGUGAGGGAAAGAUGAAAAGAACUUUGAAAAGAGAGUUAAACAGUACGUGAAAUUGUCAAAAGGGAAGCGUUUGACACCAGUGUUGUUUUUCCGAAAAUCAAUUACGAAUGUUUUGUUUUUGAGGAGUUAUGACUUCAUCGGCUUGCUCCUUUCUUUACGAAACUUUCUUAAUGCACUUUUCGGUUAACAAGUCAACAUCAAUUUCUUUUGUUGUAAAAGGUUAAGAGGAAGGUGGCUUUACUUUCGGGUAAAGUGUUUAUAGCCUUUUAACUCUGCAAUCGGAGAGAUUGAGGUCUGCAGCGUAGAUCCUUCGGGGUUAGAUACAUUUGUGCUAAGUUAUAGCUUUUCAUAGACAACUUGUUGACUAUGUUUAGUCUUGUAGCUUACUCGCUUAUGCUAUUUUACCUACGCUUAGGAUGUUGAGUAGCGACAUACGCAC
rnacentral:rRNA from 1 species